GGGACUGCUGCCAUCCGCACUUCACUGUACAGAUGGGGAGGUAGGAAAGUGUCCCGUUUCCUCUCGUGGUGUAGCCCAGAGCCUCUGUCUCUCAGCUCUCAUUUGUCGGAUGCGACAGUUCAUUUAUAUUCUACUGGGCUUCUUCUGCACAUAAACUCCAUCUCCGAGUGGGUGGAAGCAGCCCCAGCUCGCCUCCGUGCUGUUCACAGAGUUAUUUUCAUUAUUGGUACAUUACGUGCUGUCUCCGUAACUCACUGUACUUGGAGAAACAAAUGUUGGACUCUGGAAAGAGGAAAAUCCAGCUUCAUCGCCUUAACCCUCUGGUCACCGUCAAGUGACAUUCAAGAUGGCACCUAGAGAAUGUGAAGAACCAGCACUUAAGAUGAAGAGAAGGUGGAGGGGACAAUACAGGAUAAAACAGCCCAAGCCAACAUGAACAUGUGCCUUGCACUCAGAAAUCCCAGGAUUGUCACAACUUGUGCCAGCUGUUGAGGUUAUGACACCUGUGCCAGCGUCGCCAGCUCUGCCCACUGUCAUCUGUUCCAUCUGCACUGUUUGUACCAAUUCUCCCAUUUCUGCAUCUGGACCUUCUGCAGAACCGUUUCCAACAAUGCCAGCUGUGUCAUUGGUGCCAAAUGUGCCAGAUGUUCUAUUUGUCCGCCCUGGGCCAAAUCAAUGCAGUUUUGUGCUCAUUAGUUUUAGCUGGUAGAUUCUAUUUUACAAUUUUUUGAGAUGUAUUUAGAUUGAAUCCAGGCAAAUUUCCCCCUCAUGAUGGUACCACAUCUCUCUGGCCACCUUUUUUUUUUUUUUUUUUUUUGCAACCCCAACUCUGUAUCUGACAACUCGAACUUGCUCAAUGUUAUCUGGGUUGUAUUAAAACAACUCGCCAGAACUGGCUCAACAUUAACUGUGGUAGAGGAUCUCCUACCAUGUAAAAAUUAUACACCGAGAAAGGUCGUGGAACACAGCACCAAAUUUCCAAAGUAAUGGAGAGAGAAUAAACUUGGUUCUGAUAAACAAAUUGAGAGUGUUCAGAGAUCAAUAUGGUGAGCUGAUUAGAGUAAUCUGCCACAUAAUGUCCUAUUGGGCUGUCUGUUUAUUGGUCUUUUAAUGGGCACAGUUUCUCAUGCAAAUUAGUGGUUAUGUCAUAUCUCCCACCCUCCCCCUUUCUGAGUUCUGCUCGGGAGAGUAUUAGCCAAGCCUGUGCCUGGAUGGCAGGGUGAGACCCACCACCCUUGUUACCUCCCAGUCUAAUGAAGCAAGCUCAGGGUCUAGUCCUCCGGCUAGAAUCUAGUUGCUCUACUCUUCCUGAAUGUCAUUUCCACUGGUGCCAACACAAGCCACUCUUACUCAUAUGCUCUCCCAGCUUUAAAAUUGGAAGGAAAAAAAGUAUUUCCAUGCCCACAAUCUUGAUGCUCCACGAUGCCACAAACCAACCUCCUCCCCUUUUUCAUUUUUCUCAUUUAGGAAGUUUCUUUUACAGAGCCCCGAUGCUUAACCUAAUGGACCUCCUCCCCAGUUCUUUCUUCUCCCAUCACUCUUGGGUGGAGGGGACAAGAUUGUCAACAUUUGAAGACAGAUGGCCUACCAGCAUAUAAGAAGGAAAAUCCAAGGACUGUGAGACCGCCUCUCGUUUGCUGACCAUGGAUGGUCUAACUGCACCCUUCAGAUAAAGUAAGCUUCAAACCGUUGGCUGUGAAAUUCCUGACACCAGGUAGAGCGUCAGCUCAUAACAAGAAUCCCAGAUCUGUGGUCGAUCUAUGUAUGUGAUGACAGGAACUCAGAAUGUUUCCACUGAUGCAUUGGGGUUUCAAAUUCUGUAGGGGAAAGGCUAAGAAGU